CUUCAACCUUACCGAUGACUGAGAUGUUCUUCGAAAAAUUGCACAAUCGAGGUGUCAAUAUAUGACACGAAGGGUGACAAUCACCCGGUCCGCGAAUAAUACAAAGCCACUCAAAACGAGGUCUGUUUAAUCUGGCUAUGACACCGCUGAUGGCACUUCCAUUUCCAGUAGAGGAAAACUGAUAAACAUUGAUAAUGAAAAGGCAGGAGAGGCUAUUGAAGGCAGCGUUUCUUAUACGGAUAAAGAAGGCAAUGACUUUAGCUUAUCAUACACAGCUGACGA